UACAGAGGUCUCAAGCGUUGUUCGGAUUCAUUGGGCGUAAAGGGUGCGUAGGUGGCGAGGUUAGUCAGGUGUGAAAUCUCGGGGCUCAACCCCGAAUCUGCACUUGAUACUGCCUUGCUAGAGUACUGGAGAGGAGAUUGGAAUUUACGGUGUAGCAGUGAAAUGCGUAGAUAUCGUAAGGAAGACCAGUGGCGAAGGCGAAUCUCUGGACAGUUACUGACACUGAGGCACGAAGGCCAGGGGAGCAAACGGG
rnacentral:rRNA from 1 species